GCAGUGGUGCUUCAGUGGUAGAAGUCUCGCCUUUGGUGUAGGUGACCUAUGUUCGAUUCCCAGCCAAUGCA
rnacentral:tRNA from 1 species